rnacentral:lncRNA from 1 species
GUACUGCUAACCGUGGUAAAUUUCUCUUCCUGGCCUUUCUCGCCUUCCUCACUCACAAUCAUUUGACGAGGCUGCCCUCUGGUGGUCACUGAGAACCGAUUCCGCAGCUCUCUCCCAACCACGUAAGAAUUUUGUCUCCGCCUGCCUCUAACAUAAGGGCUAAUUCACCACAAGUUACAGUGUUUCCCUCUAAGACUUUCUGAAAUACGGCGACCAAGUCAGACACACAGAGAGGCAUCCAUUGUCGAGAGAGAUUAUGGAGAACUCUUCUUUGCCAAUUCUUUUGCAAACUUACAUAGUUCUGGAACGUCGUUUGGUGAAGGCAGCUUACCCCACCUCAGAAGAUCAGUGCCUGUUUUCACAUUUGUUGUCGUCCCUGCUGGAGAAUGAAGAAUGAGUCUGAUCUCUAAAGGCGCAGCCCGCAGGAAGCCCCAUGAUUCUCUGCACACUUCUGCUGUCAAUCCCAUUGUAGGCCGAGCAGUAUUCAAACCACAGGCUCCAAACUCCCAGAUUCUGGAAAGACUGAAGCCCAUCUGCCAUCAGACAGAGAGAAUCAAACUUCACAAUGCAACGCUGAACUUCGGGGUCAGCCUCAUAGACUCCACUGAACACGCAUUCUCAACGCUCUUUUGUAUUACAAAGACUCAUGGAAGAUAAGAAAAUGCUUUUUUCCUCUACAAUAGUUGGUUUUCAAUGAGCAGGGUAGUGAUGUUUGUACUGUGGAGUUCAUUAACAAGUGUACUUAUAAUGCUCAUUUAAUUUUUGACACAUAAUUAGGCAAUAUAUUGAACAUGCUUUUUGUUCUUUGUAUUCUUGUGACACCUUUUUUGGAUUCAGGGUCUGUUUUACAGGGAAGAAGCUAAUUUACACAAAACAUAGAAGAUUUAAGUAAAGCACAAGUUCAGAACCACUGCAAACUUGAAUCAUUACUUUUUUUGCACUGUUUUCUGUGCUGAAUGAUCUAUUUGAAUGCUGUUUAUUCUAAAUCUAAGAAUGCAAAAAUAUAAGUUAAGGAAUUCACACUUAGCUAGCUGAAAGGGAAAAUAUCAUUAGAAACUGUUACUGCUGUAUUUUAAUCCAAC